rnacentral:rRNA from 1 species
UACAGAGGGUGCGAGCGUUGUCCGGAAUCACUGGGCGUAAAGGGCGCGUAGGUGGCGUCGCAAGUCGAUGGUGAAAGCUCGGCGCUCAACGCCGAGUCGGCCCUUGAUACUGCGAGGCUGGAGCACUGUAGAGGCAGAUGGAAUUCCGGGUGUAGCGGUGGAAUGCGUAGAGAUCCGGAAGAACACCGGUGGCGAAGGCGGUCUGCUGGGCAGUUGCUGA